rnacentral:lncRNA from 1 species
AAAAUGCAGGUACUAAAUUGAAAUAUUGUUCAAUAGACUUACGGCGAUGUCUUUGGUUUCAUGAAAAAAGCGAGGAAAAUCAUGAUUUUCCAAAAAGUUACACAAGACGGUAACAUCUUUGAAGUAAUGUCGAACAUCAAGUACGGCCUUAUCAUAAAAUGAAAACAUAGAAUGUUUGGGGUCAAGAAAGGUUUCCCGCAAUUGAAAAAAUAAAGGGAAAUUUAAAGUCGAAGGGAGAUAUUUUUGAUAAUCCCCGACGACUUUAGGAUCUCCAUGAAAAACUUCUCCUGUAGUAAAUACAUUAGCUGCUUCAAUAAAUGUUGGGAAGAAGGAUUUUUCGACAUGUUUGGCUGUGUCCAAUCUGAUACCAUCAAAUUGAUAACGUUUAAUUAGAUCAGAAACCCAAUUUUGAAAAAAUUUGCGAACUUCAUUCUUUUCGGUUCGAAUGUCUGGUAGGUUCACAUGUGAAUCUCCUAACCAACCUGUAAUUGUCUCAUGGGGAUCAUCGUAAUUUUGUACAAACUGCCAGUUGUGAUAAUACUUCCCAGAGUUAAAUGGUUGAUAAAGUAAGAAGUUUACGGGUUUGCUUCCGGCAUGACCCAUAUGGUUGACAACUAUGUCAACCAUGCAAAGCAUAUUUUUCUCAUGAAUUGCAUUGACUAGUUCUUUCAAAUCUUCUUCUGUCCCAAAAUUCUCGUUUAACUGAGUCAUAUCUUGUGCCCAAUACCCAUGAUAUGCCUGACCACAAUCCGUAGUCUCAGAUAUGUUUUUAACUAUUGGGCUAAUCCAUAUUGCCGUACAUCCCAGACUUUUAAUGUAAUCAAGGUUACGAGUAAUACCCUUCCAUGUACCCCCAAGGUAAAGAUUUCCGCUAGCUUUUGCAUAAAAAUUAUCCUCAUCCAAAGCAAAUCUGUCCGUUAAUACCUGGUAUAUAACUUGCUUUCGCCAUAAUUUAAGGUAGGAAGGUUCUUUUUUCGGCAGAAUGGAGCAGAUUAGAUUCAUAGUCCCUUUUCGUCAAGUAAACAACAUUCACUGGUAACUGUCUCGUUUACAAUGCAGCUUUAAAUCAAGCCUUCAGCUACGCCUUCGUCUGGAUCGCUUCUUCAGCCUUGCUUACUGAUCAACAAAGAGUCUUCUUCUCGAAAUCUUCCCUUUCAGUACAAAUUUAAAAAAGUAUCCGAGAUUCGUACAGAAUUUGUUUUACUUUUCAAAAAGGGACGUUUGCUAAAACCGACACUCUCACUUAAAGGUUAUAGUCUUUUGGCUGCUUUUAUUAAGAGCCAAAAAUAUAGUAAGAAUAUUGAAAUACAGAGGGUCUUAAAUACUCCGCCUUUCGGUUCCGACGAUUGCGGCUUUUUUUUUUUAAUUUCAACGCUUUUCGGCUUUUGUUUACAUUCAACUUGUACUAAACAAAACAAGUUAACACAUUAUAAGGCAUGCAUCGUUAAGUAAAUAGUAACGAUGGUAGUUGGAAAAGGUGUAUGUGCUGGGUUUGUUGACAUUUCAAACCUACUGCAAAUGCGCAUGUAAAGCAGAGAAAAACAGUGUUUUAUACUGCGUAAAUAUUCUUAAACUCGCUUGUAGUUUGUUAACUGACAUUAUAUUUGAUUUAGUUAUUUUCUGUAUGCUUUUCUUCACUUGGUAAUAACAGAAAUGAAAAAAUGUAUUCAAAAUACAGCAUUAUUGUCAAAAGAAGACGAAAACUCAAAAAUUUUUUUAAGUUAAAAGACAAUGGAAAAUGGAAGCACUCCAUUUUCCAUUUUCACGCUGUCUGUAAUUCACCAAUCCAUCGUAAUGAUGGAAGCUUGAACAAGCUAGUUAAUUGUUAUGUAUGUUUUUCCUCAUACAUUGGAAGUUAGACUAUGAAUAGAAAUAAUAACUGGACUAUACCUCUUUAGAAACAAAUACAACAAAAAGCAAAAAGAAUAAAAGGAAGCCUACAGCACCCCGGAUUCCCAUGUUGUCUCCAACCAUAGUACUAACGAGGCCCUCAGACGCUUAACUGCAGUGAUCGGACGGGAACUGGUGUUUUCACCUAGGUAUGGCCGUAGACAU